rnacentral:rRNA from 1 species
GUUACCGGCCACUACCCACCCUAGACGCGCCCGAUCUCGUCUGAUCUCGGAAGCUAAGCAGGGUCGGGCCUGGUUAGUACUUGGAUGGGAGACCGCCUGGGAAUACCAAGUGCUGUAAGCU